CUGCCUCGAUGUGACCCUGUGCUGUGUCAGUUUUAGACUGGCUGGUGCAGCCGAAACCUCGAUGGCUCGGUGGCAAUGGCUGGCUCCUGGACGGCCCCGAAGAGGUGUUGCAAGCUGAGGCGUGCAGCACCACCGAGGACGGGGCGGAGCCACUGCUCUGUCCCUCAGGCUAUGAGUGCCACAUCCUGAGCCCAGGGGACAUGGCCGAGGGUAUCCCCAACCGCGGGCAGUGCGUCAAGCAGCGCCGCCAGGCAGAUGGGCGGAUCCUACGGCACAAAUUUUACAAGGAAUAUCCAGAGGGUGACUCAAAGAAUGUGGCAGAACCUGGAAGGAGACCACAGAGACACUUCCCAUAAAGUCGCGGCAGGCAGCCGGUGUGCGAGAACCUUCCUUCACCUUCUGCUAAGCCUUGGAAACAUCUGGAAGAACAGUUUGACCCCCAAAGUUUGCAUUCAGCUCGGCAGAGCAAGACUCCAGAGAGACUUCGAGACGGGACGCCUGGC